UACAGAGGGUGCAAGCGUUAAUCGGAAUUACUGGGCGUAAAGCGCGCGUAGGUGGUUUGUUAAGUUGAAUGUGAAAUCCCCGGGCUCAACCUGGGAACUGCAUCCAAAACUGGCAAGCUAGAGUAUGGUAGAGGGUAGUGGAAUUUCCUGUGUAGCGGUGAAAUGCGUAGAUAUAGGAAGGAACACCAGUGGCGAAGGCGACUACCUGGUCAGAAACUGACGCUGAGGUACGAAAGCGUGGGGAGCAAACAGG
rnacentral:rRNA from 1 species